UAUAUUUUGCUUAUGUCCAUUUUUACAAAUAAUAAGAAUAUCAUACCGAGGAAGCAUAGCAACAGUAUUACUUAAACGAUGUGAUUAUGUCGCACACACUCAUACCGUUUGUAUAAAUGCUCAUAUAAACGUCGAUAGUGAGUGUGCAACACUGUACAUAGAGAGUUUAACACAGGGGGAAGUCGAAACACAAUCAUUAUUAAUCUGUUUCACUCCCGGACGUUGCGCGAUCACAUCGUAACGAUUUUCCUUGCAAACCUUGGUAUUUAUUGCAAGUUGGAUAACCUCCUUACUACAGGUUGAUCAUAGCUUCGUUUUGAAUUCCUGAGCGGAACUGGACUUUCAAUAUGGCGGACUGCAGAUGGUUUUGGAGCAUUAUUUGGUUCUUAAUCCUAUUUUUCUUCGGAUUUCCUAUUGGAUUUUUAUGUGCAAUUCUAUAUGUGCUUAUCAGCCCAUUUGCAGCGUGUUGCAACGGUUGUGUGGAAUUGACAAACUUACUUAGAAGAGGACUCGAAUUGCCGUACACGUGUUCACAAAAUAUGGUGUCCGGAAAAUCUUUGUGUUAGGAGAAAUAUUAUUUAUGUGGUUUGAUGUACAUGUAUCUACCCUUUUAAUAUGACUGUGGAGAAUAUUAAAAGAACUUAAAUUAUGUACAGAUGUAAUAGAAACGAAAUUGAUGCUCGUAAUAAGCCAUUGUACCUCAAGGCAUGUACUUCACCAUUCGUUAACUUUACCAAAGCAUGUACUUGACCAUUCCGGUACUUUUACCACCAUUCAAGGUGCUGAUGCAAUUUGUUGAAUAUGUUAAACAUGCCUCAUACAAAAAAAUGUUUAAAAAUAGUUUUUUUUUUAUCAAAUGAAGGGUAUUUUUUUUAUCAAAUGAAGGGUAUAAGAUAUAUCACGUCAUAUAUGAGGACAAACAAACUUAAAACGACUAUUCAAAGUGUUCUAUUUAUUUGCUUAGCAACUCUGCUGACACAAAAUAUAAAGAAUUGGGCAGUAAAAUAAAAAAAUGUAAGAGAAAGUAAAAUUAAACAUACUGUUGUAUGCAAAUACCCUUGCUUUAAAAAACAUUUGCUGAUGAUGUCACUUUUUAUUCCAACAUAUAUUGCUUAUAUUCAUAUACUUUUAUUUCACGAUGUUUAAUCAUUUAUAGUGUAUAACAAUGCUUAUACUAUUGUAUACAUUUUUAUGUCAUGUAAUAUAUUAAUAAAAUCUUAAACAAUGAAGAA